CUGUGUGUGUGUGUGUAUCUUUGUGCAUGUGGAUGACUUCCUAUCUUUAUUGUAUGUUUGUCUUUACCAGUGAGCUUUUCCAUUUUGUACUUUUCUUGUUUGUAGUUGUGGCCUUUUCUUUUCUGCCUAAAGAAGUUCCUUUAGCAUGUGUUGUAAAGCUGGUUUGGCGCUUUUGAAUUCUUUCCACUUUUGCUUAUCUGCAAAGCGUUCGAUUUCUUCAUCAAAUCCGAAUGAGAGCCUUGCUAGAUAGAGUAUUUUUGGUUGUAGGCUUUUUUCCCUUUCAUCACUUGAAAAAUAUCAUGCCACUCCCUUCUGGCCUGCAGAGCUUCUGCUGAAAAAUUGGCUGAAAGCCUUAUGGGAGUUCCCUUGUUUGUUAUUUGUUGCAUUUCCCUUGCUGUUUUUUAGUAUUUUGCUUCACCUUUUGUCAGCUUGAUUACUAUGUGUCUUGGUGUGUUCCUCUUUGGGACUGUAUGGGACUCUCCGAGCUUCCUGGACUUAGUAAGUGUUUCCUUUCCCAGGUUAGUGAAGUUUUCAGCUAUUUUCCCUUCAAAAAGUUUCUCAGGCCCUCUUCCUCCCUCUUCGCCUUCUGGAACCACUACAAUGUGACUGUUCAUGAUCUUGCUGUUGUCCUAGAUGUCUCUUAAACUGUCCUCAUUUCUUUUCAUUCUUUUUUCUUUUUUCUCUUCUACUGUAGUGAUUUUCACUACUCGGUCUCCCAGCUCACUGAUCUUCUGCUUCAUUUAGUCUACUAUUGGUUCCCUCUAUCAUAUUUUUCAUUUCUGUUAUCAUAUUCUUCAACUCUGUUUGGCUGUUCUUUAUAUGUUCUAACUUUUAAAAACAAACCAAACAAAACAACAACAACAACAAAAACUUCUAACUUCUUGCUCUGUGCAUCCAUUCUUCUCCUGAUCUCUUGGAUCAUCUUUAUGAUCACUACCCAGAACUCUUUCUUGGGUAGAUUGCCUAUCUCCACUUCACUUCGUUGUUCUUCUGGGGUUUUGUCUUGCUCCUUCAUCUGGAACAUAUUUCUCUGCCACCUCAUUUUGUCUAAAUAUUGCAUUUGUAUUUUAACAUAUGUGGCAGGUUAGUUACAUUUCUUGAACUUGUAGAAGUGGUCCUCUGUAGGGGAUGUCCUGUGUGUCCCAGUGG